AUUGAACGCUGGCGGCAUGCCUAACACAUGCAAGUCGAGCGAGCGUCGGACAGGUGAGUAUUGUAUGUGGACCGCCCGAAUGAGGGGGAUAACUCCUCGAAACGGUAUCUAAUACCGCAUACUAUCGUAUCACGCAUAUGGGAGUAGCUAGUAGGUGAGGUAAUGGCUCACCUUGGCGACGAGCCCUAGCUGGUCUGAGAGGAGGAACAGCCACACUGAGACUGAGACACGGCCCAGACUCCUACGGAGGCAGCAGUGGGGAAUAUUGCACAAUGGGCGCAAGCCUGAUGCAGCCAUGCCGCGUGUAUGAAGAAGGCCUUAGGGUUGUAAAGUACUUUAAGUAGGGAAGCGUUAUCGACAGAAGAAGCACCGGCUAACUCCGUGCCAGCAGCCGCGGUAAUUC
rnacentral:rRNA from 1 species